UACGUAGGGUGCGAGCGUUGUCCGGAAUUAUUGGGCGUAAAGGGCUCGUAGGCGGUCUGUCGCGUCGGGAGUGAAAACUCAGGGCUUAACCCUGAGCCUGCUUCCGAUACGGGCAGACUAGAGUGCGGUAGGGGAGACUGGAAUUCCUGGUGUAGCGGUGGAAUGCGCAGAUAUCAGGAGGAACACCGAUGGCGAAGGCAGGUCUCUGGGCCGCAACUGACGCUGAGGAGCGAAAGCAUGGGGAGCGAACAGG
rnacentral:rRNA from 1 species